rnacentral:misc_RNA from 1 species
UUGACCCAUUUUCAUAGUGCUCAGAGAGACCGCUAAAUUCAGGAGUUCUUGGUCCCCCGGCGGGCGCCCGGCGAACCGGACCCGGGGACCCCCUCCCAGGGGGCCGCCCGCCGAGGCAACUGUUUGAGGUAAGGUUCACAGUGGGUUUGGGAGUCGUGGACUCUGUAAUGAUCCCUCCGCUGGUUCACCAACGGAGA